GAUGUCCAUCCUCAGGCACACAGUGGUGCUGGGGAGAGAUCUAUGAAUUGAGCAUCAGCAAGAGCCUCGUGUACGGAAGUGUGGGGGUCCUGCUGGUACUGCUGGCGGUGGUGUGGGUUGUCCUGACUGUCUUCUUUAGCCCAUCCCAGAGGAAACUGCACAGGUAAGCUCUGGGGCCAGGCCCAAGUCUCUGCUCCUACUAGCUCAGCAGUGAGACAUCAGCCAAGGUCCAGAAGGAACACGGCCCCUCCCAGCUCUGGGUACAACAAAGGGCAGCUACUGGCCCAUUUGACAGAGAAAUGGAAUCUAAUAUUUAUGUGCUGACACUGGAUGAUGUAAUGAAAUUAUAUGGCGUUUGUAAGCACCUUGGCUGCCACAGAGCAACAGCUACACUAGCACACUGGGAAAGCACUAUCUGGUGUCAUUUUUCCCAGCUGGAAAAUGGAUAAGACCCACCUGAGAAGGUUGCCAUGAAAUGCUGCCCAGCACAGGCCCUUGCCAGCAGUUGGCAAAGGGAGCCACUCUGACUCUAGUCCAAUGUCCCCAUCUCACAGAUAAGGAAUCUGGGGCCCACUGAGGGAAGUGAAGCGGGGGCAAGCCAUGGUGAAGUCCCCAGGCAUGCUCUUUGUUUUGGGCAGCCCCUCCCUGAUUCAGGGCUUGGCCAUGGGUAGCCCCUUCUGGAAGCCGAGUGUCAGGGCUCGCUGAGCCCCCUCCUCUGCCUCCCUGCCGCCAGCUGCUCACUGUAUUUCUAUUGGCAGGCAAAAGUAUAACGUGUCUUGCGAGUGGCAAAGAGAAACCAUCCCUGGCAGUUUCCAGAACACAGGCAUCUGGGAAGGUACCUCUUGUCUGGGGCAAGGGUGGGGGCAAAGCUGGAGAGUGGAGAAAGGCCAAGAAGGCACCGUGGGCAGACCUGGUGUGGCUUGGGUGACGUGCGUCCUGCCCACCUAUCCCACAUCUGCUACAACAGCCAGCUCCUCUGCAGCCUCCUGACCUUGUGUCCCCAUGGGCAGCCGCGGAUGACCUCCAGUCAUUUCUCAGCUCCUCCAGUCCAUGGACAGCCCACACCUACCAUUUUCCCUCUGCCACACCUUUGUGCUACUGUACCACUCACUGUCUGGACCCCCGAACCCCACUCUGUUUUUGAGAUCAGCUUCAAACGCUGCCCCUCCAUGGCCUCCCAUGUGUUCAGCCUCCUCUGGUUCCUAGACUCCCUCGUGGACCCAGGCUCAGCUGCUGUGGAAAACCAUCAUGUCACGUCUCCAACCCUAUCCCCGCCCCUGAGCAAAUCCUGCCUCCCCAGUUCUUCCUGAAAAACACUAUGGAAGGGCUGCAGGGAGGGCUGAGAGCUGGUUCCUGCCCUGGGAGACCACCCCGCUGAGGGCAUCAGACAUACACAGUGAGUAGGAUAACAGGACCAUGCCUGGAAGUCUGCCCAAUCCACCUGGGAAGAGAGGAUGUUGCCUGAUUCUCUGAUUCAUUGUGGACCUGGGGCAGUGCUGCCUAAGAGCUGAUCAGAAUCUGAAGAAGGACAAAUUCAGCCUUGAAAAUGCCUAGAGCCACUUCCAGCCCUCCCGAGGACGUUGACCCCACUACAGAGGUCCAUUCAGAGGCUCAGGGUGGUGACAGCUGCUCAGUCAGUGGGACAAAGGCUCCCAGUCUUCAUCCAGAUCUGACAAGAGAGUGGCAGACAGAGAGCCCACACAGGUCAAGAGGAAACAGAUGUCAGGGCCCGAGGUGGUCAGCUCAGACCUGCUGGAUUUGGCCUGGCCCCUGCUGCGAGCCCUUCUCUGCUCUCCCCUGCCCUCCAUCCAAGAGGACCAAGGCUGCCCAGACAUCUUGCUCCCUCCCUGGUGACUCCCCACUGUGGAC